GACGAACGCUGGCGGCGUGCUUAACACAUGCAAGUCGAACGGUAAGGCCCUUCGGGGUACACGAGUGGCGAACGGGUGAGUAACACGUGGGUGAUCUGCCCUGCACUUCGGGAUAAGCCUGGGAAACUGGGUCUAAUACCGGAUAGGACCACUGCCUGCAUGGGUGGUGGGGGAAAGCUUUUGCGGUGUGGGAUGGGCCCGCGGCCUAUCGGCUUGUUGGUGGGGUGAUGGCCUACCAAGGCGACGACGGGUAGCCGGCCUGAGAGGGUGACCGGCCACACUGGGACUGAGGUACGGCCCAGACUCCUACGGGAGGCAGCAGUGGGGAAUAUUGCACAAUGGGCGCAAGCCUGAUGCAGCGACGCCGCGUGAGGGAUGACGGCCUUCGGGUUGUAAACCUCUUUCAGCACCGACGAAGCGCAAGUGACGGUAGGUGCAGAAGAAGGACCGGCCAACUACGUGCCAGCAGCCGCCGUAA
rnacentral:rRNA from 1 species